CAGUCCCCCCAGGUGUCCUCAUAACUGCUCCCUUCACGGAUACCCAGACGGCCCACAAGGGCAGCUCCCUGGAAGCAAACGUGGCCUGAAGCUCCUCAGGCUCCCCAGCCUCCGGGAAGGAGGGGCCGUCUGAGCGGGAAGCGGGGAGCCUGGGCAUCGGCUCCACAGCUGGGGGAGCUCGAAUCCCAGGUGGGCCACCUGGGACAAGUUAGGUAAUGUCCCUUAGCCUCCAUUUCACCAUCUGUAGAAAAAUCGUGAUAAAAAUUGUCUACCACCUUGUUGGGUGAUAAGAAUUUGACAAGACACUCAAUGGAAAAUGUUUAGCACAGCACUGGGCACGCUGAGAGCACACGGAAGCAGACCAUGGCACUAUUAUCAUCUAUGACAACCUUUUGCCUCCAGAACUCUAGGCACCAAGUUAGGUGCAGGGGGGUGAAACAGUCUGGGGGAGAAGACCCUUAAGUGACCCCCAGAGGGGCCCGAGCUCUCCCGAAGGCAGGAGUCCCUGGCCCGAGGGAGAAUGACAGGGCAAACGGUUGACUGUCAGGCAGCCGUGUGGCCCCCAACAAAGGGCCCCCCUGACAUUCCUGUUGGGCUUUAACAGGGGGUGGCCAGUGAGUUCCUGGAAUGUCCAAGAAAAACAAACUGGUUAUUCUGAGUGAAAUUGCAGCCUGGCUUCGGCGGGCUGAGUCUGCUUUAAAUUAAACACAGCAUUUCUGAGAUUCUUUUCAUCUCCUUGCCACUGUGGGUUAGUGGAGACAUUACCUCACCUCACCUUCCGCUAUGAGGUGGGGAAGCCAACAGGGCGUGGGGCUGGGUGUGGGGUCGGGAGGGGGGCCGAGAGCCCACUGGGGCUCCCGGGGUCCCUCCUCACUCCAAGAGCCCAACCUCCCACUGGGGCUGGAGUGGUGGAUCCGUGGGGACGAGGGCAGACAGGAGGUGCACCAGCGUGCAGUCACCCCUGCCUGUCCUUGGUGUUUAGCUAAGGAGUUACAGCAUUUUCAAACAUACUGCUUUCCUAGGAGCACUUGAGAAAACUGGACUGCAGUCUUACAAGUCCAAGGGGCAAGGAUGCCCACCUUCCCGGGUUGUUACAUGGGUUAAAUGAAGUUGCUCAAGGUUCUUCUGUCUCUCCAGUGGCUGAGUCAUAACUGUGAACCGCCAUCGCUGCCCUGCUGGGGCUCUGCCUGCUAUAACCAGAUCUGGGGGAAGACAGCUCGUCUCCUUGCUCCACCUUCCAGGCUGGCUCUUGUAAGAAACAGAAGAAGAGCUAGAAGAACUUCUAGGUUUGAAAUCGGAUCAGAAAUAAGAUAGCCAGAACUGAAAAGACACCCAGAAUUCCGCCAGGAAUGAAAAAUAAUAAAUGUGCACCAGGUGCAGUUACUUCUUGUGUAAGAAACUCUCUAUUUUCUUGGGAGAAUGUAACCACAUGAAAGAGUUGGAAACAUGCCACCGAUUUGGUCAGGGCCACUCUCUUUCUUCGGACACAGCUGCCUGAAUGAAAG